AUGAACGCUAGCGGCAGGCUUAACACAUGCAAGUCGAGGGGCAUCGGGAGUAGCAAUACUUGCCGGCGACCGGCGCAAGGGUGCGUAACGCGUGAGCAACAUGCCCGUAUCAGGGGGAUAAUCCAUGGAAACGUGGUCUAAUACCCCAUAGUAAUUAUGUAAGGCAUCUUAUAUAAUUUAAAGCUUUGGUGGAUACGGAUUGGCUCGCGUGACAUUAGCUGGAUGGUAAGGUAACGGCUUACCAUGGCUACGAUGUCUAGGGGUUCUGAGAGGAAGGUCCCCCACACUGGAACUGAGACACGGUCCAGACUCCUACGGGAGGCAGCAGUGAGGAAUAUUGGACAAUGGAUGGAAAUCUGAUCCAGCCAUGCCGCGUGCAAGGAAGACGGCCCUAUGGGUUGUAAACUGCUUUUGUAUGGGAGCAAUAAGGGCUACGUGUAGUCCGAUGAGAGUACCAUACGAAUAAGCACCGGCUAACUCCGUGCCAGCCGCCGC
rnacentral:rRNA from 1 species